AGUCGAAAUAUUCAGCUUCAACAAGAGAUGGCGAUAUGAGCUCGGUGUCUGCUUCUAAAGGUUUUGGAUCCUGUCAUUGUCUUCAACCGGAGCUGAUCACCUCAGUUUUUCAGUAGGCGAAUAGGAAGAUGCUAUACGCUCUCCACAGCUGUAGAUUGGAUAACUAUAAAUGGGCCAGAGGUGUUUGGCUUUUACCUGCAUACCCACUGAAGAAAAUAGCGUUUAGCCUGGACAACCUGCUGGAUUGAAGGUAAGUGGAAGUGUUAAAUUCUUCCUGGGUAAAGUAAUCCAUAAAGAUUUCAGCACCUUCUAGUAGUGAAACAAUUCCCUACACAUUUGGCCGGCUAACCACCGGGAUAUACUGGUUUGGAACGCACUGAAACUGUGUAAUCUUUCUGGUAUAUGUUUAUAACUAUGUCUAACACCUUCAGAGCUGUGUUCUUGUGUUUCCUGUCACUGUGGGCUGCAGAGCACAGUAGUAAAUGGCAGAGUCUGUCACUUCUGUAGAAGAGAUCGUCAAAUUCAUACUUUUGGCUGUUUUAUCAGCCGCAGCAGUCAGACGGAGAGUGGGUUCUGAUUCAGGUUUGGUCUCAAAGAACAUAAUUAGGUGCUCAGGUUUGGAUCCAGGAAACUGACGAUACCAUUGUAAAUUGCGAACAGCUUCAGUGUAGUUGCAGAUCAGUGUAACAUCUUUUCCUUCCAAAACAUGCUUCUCUGUGACGACUGGUCUUAUUACAUCUUCACCAGCAGUCUCUGUUUUAAACAAUGUUUUAAUUAAUCAUUUCUGAUGGGCUAA